UAAUUUGAGAAAUUAGAAAUUUCUUUGUAGUUCAAUGUAAUAUCAUUUACAUACAAGAGUCUGGUUCCUUCCUCAAUAAGUUGUUUUGGAAUAACAUUUGGAAAUGCAAAAUCCAGCCCAAAAUUUAGCAUUUUCUAUGGAAAUGUUGUCAGAAGGCUAUCCCAAUGAGGCAGCUUCUUACUACUCAUGGUCUGGAGGCGGAAGUGGUGUGUCCUAGGCAUGGAUUGUACGAGGAAUCCAUUGAGCAUUUGCUUUUCCUAUGCUCCCAUUCCAUCCCAGUUUGGAAGAGUUCACCGCUUAGAUUGGAUUUUUCGACUACUGCUCCUUCCUCCUUUUUUGAUUGGUGGAUGGAUUUGGUGGGGAAGUGGAAAGAUAUGGAUGGGGAAUGGAUGUGUUGGGUUUGGCGGCUUGCUGUUGUUUGGGAAUUUAGAAGGCCCGAAAUAAGUUUGUUUUCGAGGGGGCAAAUUGGGAUGCUCAUAGGGUUGUUUCGAUGGCUUGUUCUCAGUUUUGGGAAUACAAGGAUGCAUCAUCUUUCCCUAUCUUUGGUUUGUAUUUCGGUUUUUUCGUUGCUCGUUUUUCUUCGCCUCCUAAUUCUUCUCUUUCACUUUCAAGAUGGAUGCCUCUAGGAGAUGGUAUGGUCAAAUGCAAUGUGGACACGUUUUUUUUAGCUUCAACUCAUGUUGGAGGUGGUGGCGCGGUUUUUCGUGAUUCAUUGGGCACUAUUUUGCAGACUGUUGUGUUUUCUCCUUUUCCUGUUAUUAAUGUUGUUGUUGCUGGCUAUUUGUCCUCGUAUAGCGGUUCUUUGGGCUCUUUCUUCUUUAGUAUCGCCAGUCUGGUUUGAGUGUGAUUCUUAGAUUGUGGUUCAGGUAGACCGAUUGAAAUUCAACCAGUUGUUUUUGAUGUUCAAGUGCCGCUUCGGAGAAUUGAACAUUCUCGCCUUAGCCAUGUUCAUAAAAAUGGCAAUGAAGUUGCUCACGCUAUUGCGAAACUUUCCAAAUGUCAUAUUCCUCAAGAUUUGGCUCUUGAUCAUAUUCCUAGUGAUAUUCUUGUAUUAGCAGCUAAGGAUUGUUUGUCUUGCUAGUUGUUGUUGUUAUUGCUGUUUGUUAGGUUAAAAAAAAAAAAACAAAAAAAUUAAAAAAAUUGUUUGCCUUGCUAGUUGUUGUUGUUAUUGCUGUUUGCUACAGUACAAAAAAAAAAAAAAAAAAAUAUUAAUUUUUUUUUUUUUUUUAAUUUUUGUGUGUUUUGUGUCGGUUGUGUUGGGUCCAUGGACUUACUCUUAAACUAGAUUGAAUAUUGAACGUUCAACAGGCUUGUCACUGCUAAGUCUAUCUUUUGCUACUCUUCUCUCUCUGCAAAAAAAGAACAAAAAAUAAAAAAUAAAAUAAAUAAAAAAAAAAGAAAAAAGAAAAAAAAUGGCUGAAACAGUGGGUGGAGCAUUUCUCUCGGCUUCCCUUUAGGUGCUGUUUGAUCGGUUGGCUACUCCAGAGUUCAAAAACUUCUUUUCCAAACAAAAAAUUGAUGACGAAAUCUUAGACAAGCUUAAGGUAACCUUGACGGCCCUUCAAGCAGUGCUGGAUGAUGCGGAGGACAAAUAGAUUUCCAACAAACAUGUGAAAGAUUGGGUUGAGUAGCUCCAACAUGUUGUCUACCAAGCUGACGACUUGCCACGAAAGCCCUGAGGAACAAGUUGGAAGCUGAUGAUCCCCAAACUGAAAGCAGCAGAAGUAAGAUUUUCAAAGAAAUGCUAAACGUCCAAUUUCCUUGUAACUUGCAAUGUCACCAGAGGGAUUUUGUAUUUGGGUGAUGGUUCUGUUUGGUUAGAGUGCUGUUACUAUGAUGAAAUUUCAGGUUCAUGUUACGAGACCACAUAAGAUUCAAGGAAUUGGUGCUGGCGUCAUCCAUGCUGUUUUGGACAUCAACAUUCUUGAUGAAGUUGUUCAAGUUUUAAGUACUCCAUACUUGAAAAAUGGAGCUCUUAUUCAACAACAACAGGUACAAAAUGUGAGAUAUAAUUUUUUUAAUUGGCAAAUUUCGACGUCAAAACAAGUUUGAUCGAGUUGUAAUUCUCAGGUUACCAUACCAAGAUCGAGAUCAGCUACGGAAUUGGAAGGUUGUUCAUACGAAGAUCUACGAACAAGGAAAGAACAACACUUUAGGAAGUUGUUUCCCACUUAGGACAUUAUACCUAUAUUGUAUAUUCUUCAAGUUACCAAAAUAGAAUUCUUUCCAAGUUUUCGAACAUUCUUCAGAAUUUUGUCAAGUGGGAACCGGCACCAAGCUUAGGAACCGGUUCAAGAACCUUAGGUUCGAAGAAAAAGUUAUGUCCUUUGGUAACUGGUUCCAAAGAUGGCUACCGGUACCAACUGCUGAUACAGUUUAGGAUUUCAGUUUCCUGAUUCUGUUCAAACUUCCUAUUUGGUUUAGAAUACUACCAAAAGUCCUAUGCAUGAAAAUUACCUUGUCCUAUGCAUAUCUAGGUCUUUGAAAAUUCUAUAUAAACCUUGAUAUUGAUCUAGGUUGAUACGGUUUUUGCACUACAGCUUCAUAAUUCUUAAAAGCCUUAGAGAGAUAUUUUUACAGAAAUUCAAAGUUGAUUUUUCUGUUAUUCUUUCUAGAACACACACAAAAACACAAGUGAGUUUAGAGUAUUGUUCAAAUCCUGAUCGUGAUCAAAGUCUUGCAUCUACAAUGAUCAGAAAAGCAGAUAUAUUACUUCUUCUACAAAUUCAAAUAUUGAAGAAUAGAGGUGAAGUGAUCACACUUUGAAAGGGUCAAAGCAUUCGAGGAGUAUUGUUUAAUCUACCAACAAUCCUUCUAUAAUGUAAUAUUUCUCAUUUUCCUAUUUUCCAUUUUCUAGGAUAUUUUUUUAUUUUUCUGGAUUAUUUCAUCUUCUUCGCGUUUUGCGUGUCGGGCACUGUGGAGUGUACCGGGUGAGUUCUCAUGGUUGGUUAGGGCAUUUCUUUGAGUUUAAAACUCUUAGAAAUAUAUUGGUUGCCAUUUCAAAAAAAUUCUAUUUUCGGACUAGGAGGUCCCAAGUGGGACCCGUUACUGGGUACUGUGUUUGGGUUUGUUGCAUUUCAUGCAUUUAUUUGAUGUACAAUUAUGUGGAUGCAUGUUUAUUUAAGUGGUCAUAAUGUGGUUAGUGUGUAUAUAUAUAUAUAUGUUACAAUGUAAAGGUUGAUUUUUAUUAAGCUGUGGGACCAACCAACAUUAUAAGUCAUUACAAAUGACUUUAAGAUCAUUUACUGAUCAUUAUUUCUUCUCUCUUCAUGCCAAUUAUGUAAUAUUACCAAUUAUAUAUAUAUGUGUGUGUGUGUGUGUGUGUGUGUGUGUGUGUGUGUGUGUGUGUGUUAAAUAUAAUAUUUAUCGCCGUGGCCCCACAGGGGCUUUAGUGUUAUAAUGACCAAGGGGUCAUUACCAGACCCAACUUUCUUUCUCUCUCCACGCAGCUGCCUUCUCUCUUCCUCUGAUUUUAAUUUUUCUUUUUCAUUUCACAAUUUCAAGCUUCAAUUACUCUUCAUCUUUUGGAGAUUUUUGGUGCCGUUUGCGGCAAAACGGAAAGCUUAUCGAGAUCUACGCAUUGAUGUAAGCAAUUCCUCAUUUGGCCAACCCUAGGAAUUUUGAAUUUUUGGACCCAUUUGGGGGUUUUUGCAUCUAAGUGAGGUAGGGGCCUCUAAUUCAUAAUCUUCUUGUACUUUUGUGAAUUAUCUUGUAUAAAUUAUUACCUAGCAUGUUCAAUUAGUAUAAAUUCUUGCAAAAAUUGCUUAAAUGUUGUAUAUGGAAUGUUUAAUUAUGUGUUGAAUGAUGUGUUGUGAUCGAGCAUGCUUGUAUGGACUAAAAUUCAUGUUUUGUAAGCUUACCAUGCUAGAUUAUUGUUGAAUGAAAGCAUGUAUAUAUAUAUUUUUUUACUUGUAAAGCAUGCUAUGUUGUUUAAGUUGAAUUAAUUGUAUGAAAAUGAGUAUUGGCAUGGUAUAAAAAGGCAUGAUGCAUUUCAUGCAUAAGCAUUAGGCAAGGAAAAUGGGAAAGUUAUUUUGAAAUGGAAUGAAAAAGGUUUUGGGGAAAAAGUUUUGAAAGUGUUUGCGAAAACCUGGCUGCCUAGGAGUUACCUAGGGACUGUGGCGUUGGUGUGGCCUAGAGGGAAUUGGGGAGAUUUCCCUAGCUUUGUUGAGUUACAUGGGCCCCAAAUGACGCCAUGGAGUUGCCAUGGGUCAGGGACAGUUAACUAAUUCUUCUCUCGUGCCGCUAUGGAGUUGCUAUGGGACUGGUUACACUAACAGUUUGAAAAUAAUGAUAGAAAAGGUUUUGGAAAUGGGGAAUGACAUUGCAUUUGAUAGCAUAGCAUGGAUAUUUUAUGACUUGGAUUAUUGUUGUUGAUGUUGUGGUUAUAUUUUUUCCCCGAAAAUGGUAUGAUCCUGGUUCUUUUUCCUAUUCCUUAUUUGGAUUCACAGGGUCAUAAGAGGUAUGUCUUAGACACCUCCUACUGAGCCAUUGUACUCACCCCUUUAUUAUUAAUAUUUUUCAAGACACUGAAAGGGGAGGCGGAUAACUAUCCACCACAAGAUUAGACGGGAUUGGAGAUUUAUAUUUUGAUAUUUUUGUUUUAGAACUUUAAUAUUUUGUAAAUAUAAAUCUUGACUAUUCUGUAAAACUUUAGUAUGAUUUGUAUAAUGUUGUAAAUUACGGACUUUUGAUUUCAGCUGUAUUUCAUAGACUGUAAAUUGACGUAAUUAGAGUACGUUCCUAGUAAAAGAGUAUGAGACUAGGUAGUGGACUAGCGUUUUCAUGUUUUUAGAGGAAUUGGAGGAACGAGACUCUUUUUAUAUGUAUAUUGUUAUUUUGGGAAUGUUUUAUAUUAUUUGCAUUGUGCAUUGAGACAUGAUAGAUUAGUUUAUAGCCAAGUGAGGCCAUUACAUUUUUUUUUUUUGUGCAUUUCAAUAGGUUGUGGUAGGACCCUUUUUAGUAGAGGUCAUGCCGAAUUUUUUUUUUUUUUAAUGACUGGUAUCAUUUUUGGGUCGUUACAAUUUGGUAUCAGAGCUUUUGGUUCGAAAACCAUUAGGACAAUGGGUAGAGGCCUACCUGGGGUUGUGUGGGAAGUCAUUUGUAUUAUUUGUGUGAUUAUUGCAAAAGUGUUUUGUUAUUUGAAAAGCAUGUUUAACUGUUUACUAGCUUACAUGUAUAUGUGCUUACGGUUUUGAAAAACAUGCUUCCUUGCUAUAUGUUUGCCCGUUUAUAUGUUUAUAUGCUAAAGUUUAUGUUACAUGGCCAUGUACGAGGAAUAAUUAGAUGAUCUAACCAUGAAAAUGAAAUGGGAAUGCAUUUGAAAGUAUGUUAUACAUGAUAAGAUGGCAAGCUGUGAGCACGGAUUGUGCAAAUGUGUAGUAUAUGAAAUGAUGAUUAGGAUGGAAAGGAUACUUAAUUUCACAUAAUAAUUUAAUGGACUUAUUAUUUAAACUUCUGUGAUAGGAUUAAACUUCUGUGAUAGGACACGGUUGUGUCAAGGGUUAUGCUUCGGUUAUUAUGUAUAUAUACAUAUAUAAAUAUGUCUUGUGUAUAUACUUAUAUUCUUAUGUGUUUAUGUGGUCGAGUAUGGGAUGGUUGUGUGAGUUUUGACCUGAGUAGGCGAAGAACUCGGAUGCUCCAGAGUUGUUGGGUGCCAGUUCUUAUCGAACUAAUGGCUUGCUCUUUUAGCUCGUGGAUUGAGCUAUUUGGUAUGUAGUCAUUUUGAUUUUCUUGUUAUAUUUUUGGGGUGCUUAGAGCACGACUUUAGAAUGAGUUGUAUUUCAUGGCAUGGUGAUUGUGAGUUUUAUGCAUUGGUGCAUGGGUUUCUUAUGACCGUGGGGGUCAGGUGUGCGAGUGAGGAUUUUUUGAGAAAGGUAUAACCUUACGAGGUUAGUGUUUGUGACUUGGGUCAUGGUUUGGUGCAAAGGUUCUUUUUAAACCAGUUGUGGUAAGUGUGACAGAGGUUGUUUGAGUCACAAAUGCAAUAUAUGGGUUGUAAAUGUGUAUUGCGGGUGUUCUGGUACGGUAUAAGGAAGUGUGUUGGUUGCGGUUGGUUGAGUGGUGAUUCUCACUCUGGGAAACUAUGGGAGUGUGCUAUGGGUAAUCGACUCUCGGUGAGUCGGUUGCAUGGCUCGGUUGAUGAGUGGGGUUUUGGGUUGGCACGGCUGUCUCAAAGGUCUCAAGGUGAGAUAUAGUGGUUUAUUUUCGCCGUAUAGUGUAGGGUCACACGAUAAGGCAGGUAGUGUGAGGUCAUUGAGGUGCUCGGUCUUUUGUGGAUGAAUUGAUUGAUGGUAAGUACUGUGUUAUCGUGUGCAUUAUGUUUUAGAAGUGAAAGCUGUGGACUGGAAUUGAAUUUCAAUUGUCUAGAGUACCAGGAGAUAGUGCUUCCUGUUUAAGGAUUCAAAGAGAUAAAGUGUCGAUUGGAAUGAUUAGGAUGAGGUUGAUCUUGUAGGUUUAGUUGGUAGCCCCAUUUGACUUUUGUCGAGGCCAAGAAUGUUUUGAGGAACAAUGAGGAGAAGUAAUGAUAUUGAACUUAGGGGCAUGAAGUUUUCUUGUUAGGUAUUGAUGAGCGCUAAAAAGUGCGUAUUUAAACCCCUUAAACUUAGGCAUUCUAGUACCCUUAUCUAUCUUACUUUACCGUUUUAAAUUGAUUUCAUGUUAUCUCCAUUUUCAGGCACUUAUCCCGAAAAUAAGCUAACUCAGCCAAAUAAGAGCAGAAAUGAAGCAAUUCUGAGAUGAAUCAAAGAAAGGAGCCAAGUGGAAGCAAAAAGGAAGCAAAAGGAGGAAUUCAACAUCUUCGAUCGAUCUCAGAUCAAAGUUCAAUCGAUCCAACAUAAUCGAUCUCAGGACUUCAAGAUGGAUCAGAGCCAUGAUGACAUUUUUAGAGAUCUCAAAGUUCGAUCGAUCCAACAUCAUUCUUCGAUCAAUCGAACUACCUUGUCCUUAUCCAAAUGAUUAAUCUUAUCUAUUUGUACCACCCUACCAACCACUUUUGUCCUUUUCCCAAAAAUAUCUUCAAAAUAUCUCAGAUUUGUUUUUAUCCAAAAAGCGCCGCCAUUGAGGAUCGAUCCAACUUCAGUUCGAUAGAUCUCAGCUAUGUUCGAUCGAUCCAAGUCCAAGGUUCGAUCGAUCGAUCGAACUUCCUCCAGUGCGAAAAAGUUAAAUUUCUAGCUCAUUGAAAGCUAUCCUUAUCCAAUCAUUGGGGAAUAUUUUGUACACGACCCCAGCUCAUUUUGUGUGUCACUUGACCUACCUUUAUAUAGAAUAUGAUACACUUUUUGAAAAUGAGAUACUUAGCAUACCAAGAAUCAAGAGAGGCUAUUUUUAAGGAGGAAGAAAGGAGGAAGAGGCUAGAGACACAAGCUUGGGAGCUCUUCAUCAACCAAGGAGUAGAUUUCUUCCAUGGAGUUUGCCCUUGAAGGUUGGAGAAGCACUACCAUGAGUGGCUAGACAUCCUCUUGGGGCUAGAGUUAGCCCCAAACAUGCUUUCUACAUCUUAAUUUUGUGUAUUAUUGAGGGAUUAAUGUUGUAAUACAUGUUUUGGCACUUAGAUAUAUAUAGAUCUUGUUUAUUCAAUGAUUUAUGUGGUUUGAUGCUUCCAAU